rnacentral:rRNA from 1 species
AGAGUUUGAUCCUGGCUCAGAUUGAACGCUGGCGGCAUGCUUUACACAUGCAAGUCGAACGGCAGCACGGGGGCAACCCUGGUGGCGAGUGGCGAACGGGUGAGUAAUGCAUCGGAACGUAUCCUUAAGUGGGGGAUAACGCACCGAAAGGUGUGCUAAUACCGCAUAAUCUCUACGGAGAAAAGCAGGGGAUCGCAAGACCUUGCGCUUUUGGAGCGGCCGAUGCCUGAUUAGCUAGUUGGUGAGGUAAAGGCUUACCAAGGCGUCGAUCAGUAGCUGGUCUGAGAGGACGACCAGCCACACUGGGACUGAGACACGGCCCAGACUCCUACGGGAGGCAGCAGUGGGGAAUUUUGGACAAUGGGGGAAACCCUGAUCCAGCCAUGCCGCGUGAGUGAAGAAGGCCUUCGGGUUGUAAAGCUCUUUCAGCCGGAACGAAACGGUCACGGCUAAUAUCCGUGACUACUGACGGUACCGGAAGAAGAAGCACCGGCUAACUACGUGCCAGCAGCCGCGGUAAUACGUAGGGUGCAAGCGUUAAUCGGAAUUACUGGGCGUAAAGCGUGCGCAGGCGGUUUUGUAAGUCAGAUGUGAAAUCCCCGGGCUUAACCUGGGAACUGCGUUUGAAACUACAAGGCUAGAGUGUGGCAGAGGGGGGUGGAAUUCCACGUAGCAGUGAAAUGCGUAGAGAUGUGGAGGAACACCGAUGGCGAAGGCAGCCCCCUGGGUCAACACUGACGCUCAGGCACGAAAGCGUGGGGAGCAAACAGGAUUAGAUACCCCAGUAGUCC